rnacentral:rRNA from 1 species
AUUGAACGCUGGCGGCAUGCCUUACACAUGCAAGUCGAACGGCAGCACGGGUGCUUGCCCCUGGUGGCGAGUGGCGAACGGGUGAGUAAUACAUCGGAACAUGUCCUGUAGUGGGGGAUAGCCCGGCGAAAGCCGGAUUAAUACCGCAUACGAUCUACGGCUGAAAGCGGGGGCCCUUCGGGCCUCGCGCUAUCGGGUUGGCCGAUGGCUGAUUAGCUAGUUGGUGGGGUAAAGGCCUACCAAGGCGACGAUCAGUAGCUGGUCUGAGAGGACGACCAGCCACACUGGGACUGAGACACGGCCCAGACUCCUACGGGAGGCAGCAGUGGGGAAUUUUGGACAAUGGGCGAAAGCCUGAUCCAGCAAUGCCGCGUGUGUGAAGAAGGCCUUCGGGUUGUAAAGCACUUUUGUCCGGAAAGAAAUCCUUGGCUCUAAUACAGUCGGGGGAUGACGGUACCGGAAGAAUAAGCACCGGCUAACUACGUG